AGAGUUUGAUCCUGGCUCAGGACGAACGCUGGCGGCGUGCCUAAUACAUGCAAGUCGAGCGAAUCUUUGGGAGCUUGCUCCCUAGGGUGAGCGGCGGACGGGUGAGUAACACGUGGGCAACCUGCCUGUAAGACUGGGAUAACACCGGGAAACCGGUGCUAAUACCGGAUAAUCCUUUCCCUCUCAUGAGGGAAAGCUGAAAGACGGUUUCGGCUGUCACUUACAGAUGGGCCCGCGGCGCAUUAGCUAGUUGGUGAGGUAACGGCUCACCAAGGCGACGAUGCGUAGCCGACCUGAGAGGGUGAUCGGCCACACUGGGACUGAGACACGGCCCAGACUCCUACGGGAGGCAGCAGUAGGGAAUCUUCCGCAAUGGACGAAAGUCUGACGGAGCAACGCCGCGUGAGCGAUGAAGGCCUUCGGGUCGUAAAGCUCUGUUGUUAGGGAAGAACAAGUAUCGGAGUAACUGCCGGUACCUUGACGGUACCUAACCAGAAAGCCACGGCUAACUACGUGCCAGCAGCCGCGGUAAUACGUAGGUGGCAAGCGUUGUCCGGAAUUAUUGGGCGUAAAGCGCGCGCAGGCGGUCCUUUAAGUCUGAUGUGAAAGCCCACGGCUCAACCGUGGAGGGUCAUUGGAAACUGGGGGACUUGAGUGCAGAAGAGGAAAGCGGAAUUCCACGUGUAGCGGUGAAAUGCGUAGAGAUGUGGAGGAACACCAGUGGCGAAGGCGGCUUUCUGGUCUGUAACUGACGCUGAGGCGCGAAAGCGUGGGGAGCAAACAGGAUUAGAUACCCUGGUAGUCCACGCCGUAAACGAUGAGUGCUAAGUGUUAGAGGGUUUCCGCCCUUUAGUGCUGCAGCUAACGCAUUAAGCACUCCGCCUGGGGAGUACGGCCGCAAGGCUGAAACUCAAAGGAAUUGACGG
rnacentral:rRNA from 1 species